rnacentral:rRNA from 1 species
ACCCUUCACUACGGAAUAGUCCCGGGAAACUGGGUUUAAUACCGUAUACGCCCUUCGGGGGAAAGAAUUUCGGUGAGGGAUCGGCCCGCGUUAGAUUAGUUAGUUGGUGGGGUAAUGGCCUACCAAGACUACGAUCUAUAGCUGGUUUGAGAGGAUGAUCAGCAACACUGGGACUGAGACACGGCCCAGACUCCUACGGGAGGCAGCAGUGGGGAAUCUUAGACAAUGGGGGCAACCCUGAUCUAGCGAUGCCGCGUGAGUGAUGAAGGCCUUAGGGUCGUAAAGCUCUUUCGCCUGUGAUGAUAAUGACAGUAGCAGGUAAAGAAACCCCGGCUAACUCCGUGCCAGCAGCCGCGGUAAUACGGAGGGGGUUAGCGUUGUUCGUAAUUACUGGGCGUAAA